rnacentral:lncRNA from 1 species
AUUUACCUCCCUGAGCCACCGCUAACAGGUCGCUCCGACUACUCAGAGGCUCAGGCUGGCAAUGAGGAAACCAAACCCAGAGAAUGGGGGGUCAGCACCAAAUAACAAUGCCUGUCUCCACAGCAUGGGACCUGGGGUGCGUGCUGGGAGGCAGAAGGCCGCAGUUUGUAUUCUGACCCCAUGGUUUACAAGCGGCAUGACCUGGAGGAAACUUCCGAGCCUCAGCUGCCUCACCCCUGACAUGGAGAUCUCAUUGACGUCGACCCCAGAGCAGCAGUGUGGGACUGAGAUGACGUGUGCCUGGCCAGUAAAAUAUUCUCCCCACAGAUAACUUGAUCAUUGGACAGACUUGGAUCGCAGCUCUCACUCUGCCACUGGGUUAUGGUCUGACCUUGAUCAAAUCGUAAGCCUCUCAGCCUCCUCAUCUGUAAAAUGGGGAUAUUGCUACACUUCCCUCCUGGGCUCUUCGCAACCACGAGAUAAAGAAUCUGAGUUACAGUGUCAUUGCCUGCUGUCUCCCCAGGACCUUGCAUGGUCCUGGCAUGUGUAGACAACACACAGUAUCUGGUAAGCAAUUGAAAGAGUUAAUAUUCUUCGUGUGGGGCCUUUCCUCCCCAUCC